rnacentral:lncRNA from 1 species
GUUAGGUCGGACAGCAGGUGGGUUAGGUCGGACAGCAGGUGGGUUAGGUCGGAAAGUUAGUUGGUAAUGUCGGAACGUUGGUGGGUAAGGUCGGAAAGCAGGUGGGUUAGGUCGGAAAGUUGGUGGAUUAGGUCGGAAAGCAGGUGGGUUAGGUCGGAAAGUUGGUGGGUUAGGUCGGAAAGUUGGUGGGUUAGGUCGGAAAGCAGGUGGGUUAGGUCGAAAAGUUGGUGGGUUAGGUCGGAAAGCAGGUGGGUUAGGUCGGAAAGUUGGUGGGUUAGGUCGGAAAGUUGGUGGGUUAGGUCGGAAAGUUGGUGGGUUAGGUCGGAAAGCAGGUGGGUUAGGUCGGAAAGCAGGUGGGUUAGGUCGGAAAGCAGGUGGGUUAGGUCGGAAAGCAGGUGGGUAAGGUCGGAAAGUUGGUGGGUAAGGUCGGAAAGUUGGUUGGUAAGGUCGGAAAGUUGGUUGGUAAGGUCGGAAAGUUGGUGGGUAAGGUCGGAAAGCAGGUGGGUUAGGUCGGAAAGUUGGUGGGUUAGGUCGGAAAGCAGGUGGGUUAGGUCGGAAAGUUGGUGGGUUAGGUCGGAAAGUUGUUGGGUUAGGUCGGAAAGUUGGUGGGUAAGGUCGGAAAGUUGGUGGGUAAGGUCGGAAAGUUGGUGGGUAAGGUCGGAAAGUUG